GACGAACGCUGGCGGCGUGCUUAACACAUGCAAGUCGAACGGAAAGGCCUCUUUCGGGGGGUACUCGAGUGGCGAACGGGUGAGUAACACGUGAGUAACCUGCCCUUGACUUUGGGAUAACUUCAGGAAACUGGGGCUAAUACCGGAUAGGAGCUCCUGCUGCAUGGUGGGGGUUGGAAAGUUUCGGCGGUUGGGGAUGGACUCGCGGCUGAUCAGCUUGUUGGUGGGGUAGUGGCUUACCAAGGCUUUGACGGGUAGCCGGCCUGAGAGGGUGACCGGCCACAAUGGGACUGAGAUACGGCCCAGACUCCUACGGGAGGCAGCAGUGGGGAAUAUUGCACAAUGGGUGGAAGCCUGAUGCAGCAACGCCGUGUGCGGGAUGACGGCCUUCGGGUUGUAAACCGCUUUCGCUCAUAACGAAGCUUUGUGUGACGGUAGUGGGUAAAGAAGCACCGGCUAACUACGUG
rnacentral:rRNA from 1 species